rnacentral:rRNA from 1 species
CCCCAAUGGGCGAAAGCCUGACGGAGCAAAUAACCGCGUGAGGGAGGAAGGCUCUUGGGUUGUAAACCUCUUUUCUCAGGGAAGAAAAAAAUGACGGUACUUGAGGAAUAAGCAUCGGCUAACUCCGUGCCAGCAGCCGCGGUAAUACGGAGGAUGCAAGCGUUAUCCGGAAUGAUUGGGCGUAAAGGGUCCGCAGGUGGCUAUGUAAGUCUGCUGUUAAAGAACCUAGCUUAACUAGGUAAAAGCAGUGGAAACUACAAGGCUAGAGUGCGUUCGGGGUAGAGGGAAUUCCUGGUGUAGCGGUGAAAUGCGUAGAUAUCAGGAAGAACACCAGUGGCGAAGGCGCUCUACUAGGCCGCAACUGACACUGAUGGGACGAAAGCUAGGGGAGCGAA